GCCUUGGUGGCGAAAGCCAUAGUGGUAUGCUAAGCCGUCGGUCGGGGGUUCGAAUCCCUCCUGGGACGCCA
rnacentral:tRNA from 1 species